GAGUUUUUCUCCAUUUUGUGCUUUGUCGGUUCUAACUGGUGCUGUUUUUCUUCCUCUUUUGUAGCUUCCUCCUGAAACUUAAUAGGAAUACUUGGUUUCGAUUCCAGAAGGAGGUAGGGGUAAGCUUCUGGGGCAACAGCCUUGCGAACAGUUUCAUUCUCAGCUGAAAGCCAUUGUUAAAGACUCUCUAAGGCCUGAAGAUGGAGAGCACCCGGAGCACUCCUCGAGAAGGGACACGGGGACUGUGUGUCUGAGCUGGUACCUCAGAUGCAGGUGCUAGCCGUGCCCGGCAGAAGCAGCCGGUCAGCCCGACCCAGCGCCAUGUUCACCAAUCUGGACACCGACUAUACUACAGAGCUACAGUAAUCAAAGCAGUAUGCUACUGGCAGAAAGCAGAUGCUACUGGCAGAAAUCAGUGGAACAGAGUAUAGAGCCCAGAAAUGAACCCACACUUAUAUGGACAAUUAAUCUACAAUAAAGGAAUCCUAACAUAUCACUGCUAGGAAAAGCACAAGAGUCUGAAUUUACCAUGGACAACUUGAUCACCCUCAGAUGGGAUGUGUUUAGUGCAGGAACAGAGACAACAAGCAUCACCCUGAUAUAUGGACUCUUGCUCCUGCUGAAGUACCAAGAGAUCACAGGAAGAGAUUAAACAUGUGGUUGGCAGAAACUGGAGCCCCCUGCAUGCAGGACAGGAGCCGCAUGCCCUACAUGGAUGCUGUGGUGCAUGAGAUACAUUGACCUGGUCCCCACCAACCUGCCCCACAAAGCAACUCAGGACAUUAAAUUCAGAGACUAUCUUAUUCCCAAGACAUGCAGAUGUUCCUGGGUCAGCGACCUGAGCCACAGCAGUGACAACUCCCGAUCCUUAAGCCCUUCAGCCAUCAGGAAAUUCAGAAUGGAGAAACCGUGGUCCAAAGAAGUGAAGUGAAAUUUCCAGGCAGACAGACCAGAUAAUAAACAAGGAUGAGUUUAAGGGCACACUUUGCAAGCUGGAAGAACCUGAUUCAUUUACAAAAGCCAAAGGGAGAGUUAUCCCUCUCUACAUACCUCUCAAUCCUCUGCCUGAGACAUGCAGCAACUGAUUCUGAUCAUGGGUUUUUUGGCCUGGAAAUAACCUGAAAACCUGAAAAGAGGCAUAAUCUGGACCCAUGAAAUGCAAAUUACCAUUCUGCAACUCUGAGGAUGUCAUUCUUCCUCAAAACUGCGUUAUAACCAUCUCAAAAUUAUUUGUAGGGGGAUGGUUUUAGCUUCUUCCUACUUUUCAUUGAAUAUUUGUUUUCCUACUUUUCGCUGAACAUUUGUUUUUUUAGUGAUAUAAAUACUCAACUCCUUACGUGAAAUUCCCAGAGCUUAACAUAAUGUCCAUUUUCAGAAUUAUUCAACUUUCAGAAAGGUAUGAUGAUGUAUAUACCAUAGGUUUUAUCCAAUAAAAUGUAGGAUAUUACCAUAA